CCUGGCAGAGGAGGGUGCGGCCGCAGCCAGGAGCCCGGCCCGCGCUCCUCCCCCUGGCGCCAGCCCGGCCACCCUCGGGCGUCCUGUCUCCGCAGCGGGCGAG